UCAUCACCUGUUUAAACAUUUUAGAUUUUGUUUCUCUCUCUCGUUGCAGUUUCUUAACCUUCCCUUUGAAAACCCUAGCCGCCGCUAUCAUUCCGGCCGUCGCCCCCUCCGUCCAGUAAACUUUGACAAAAUAAAAUACAUAUUUUUUAUGCUCUCUUUCUCCUCUAUAUUUAUAUUAAAGUGUAUUUUAAAAAGGAGCAAUCUUGAAAAUUAGUGGAUGUGCAUUUUUCAACCUUCAACUGUUCACCUAUGAUGAAGCCAUGAACAACUCUCUCUAUAGACCAACAACAAAGGAAUCAAAGACAUCAAAAGAAUAAAAAAAUCAUAUCUAGUUUAAAUCUGUAUUUUUUUUGCAUCUUUGUGAGGUUCACACCAGAGCUCCGCCACAAAAGCUCCACUCCGGUCAACUUUGAACUCAUUAAUAUGACAUUCAUCAUUUGCUGAAGAGAUGAAGAUAAAAAAAUGGAGAAACAAAAAAAGUUAGAUGAUAAAAUGACAUGAUAUUAUUUAUGAAGAAAUUGCAUAAAAGCUAAAUGUGGAAGUUUUUUUUUUUCAUACCUUAAUCUUUUGUGUAGCAUGAAGUUUUUCAUCUUCUUGUUUGUUAGAUAGAGAAAAAUAUCAUUUUUGCAAAAUACAACAUAAUCAAGUUAGAAAAAAUAUAGUUAAAAAUGAGGAGAAAGAAUAAGAACAAAGAAAGAAGAUGAGAGGAAGUGAUAUAAAUUUCAAAUGGGUAUAUAAUGAAAUGAAAGUUACAAAGAGUGGGAAAAUGUUUUGGAUUUGAAUUUGAAUUUUGAAAGGAAAAGU